GGGGGCGAAAUAGGAUCGACGCAUGUAGUAAAGGCAGUAUUUUCGUUCGGUAUGGUACCCACCGUUAUCGGGCCAUGUAGUAGUUGCAAAUGACAACACUGCUCCGGUAGCAAUCGCAGCCUAAGGCAGCGGGAGUAACCGAUCUUAAGUCCAGAUUGAUUGAGCUCAGUUUGGCGGGGUUUGGGGCGCACCUGGCAACAGAAGCGUUCCGCU
rnacentral:tmRNA from 1 species